CCCUUAGAUGUUCUGGGCCGCACGCGCGCUACAAUGAUGAAUUCAACGAGUUUAUAACCUUGGUUGAAAAGCCUGGGUAAUCUUUUGAACUUUCGUCGUGAUGGGGCUAGACCCUUGCAAUUAUUGGUCUCCAACGAGGAAUUCCUAGUAAACGCAAGUCAUCAGCUUGCAUUGAUUACGUCCCUGCCCUUUGUACACACCGCCCGUCGCACCUACCGAUUGAAUGGUCCGGUGAAAUCUUCGGGCCGUGACUUUGAUUUGUUUACUCAAAACGCUGUUACGGGAAGUUGAUUAAACCUUACCAUUUAGAGGAAGGUGAAGUCGUAACA
rnacentral:rRNA from 1 species